rnacentral:lncRNA from 1 species
GUUGAUUCCAUGUCUUUGCUAUUGUGAAUAGUGCUGUAAUGAACAUAUGCGUGCAUGUAUCUUUGUAAUAGAAUGAUUUAUAUUUCUUUUGGUAUAUACCCAGUAAUGGGAUUGCUGGGUAAAAUUGUAUUUUUCCGGUUCUAGGUCUUUGGGGAAUCACCACACUGUCUUCCACAAUGGUUGAACUAAUUUACUUUCCCACCAACGGUGUAAAAAGGGAAAAAGAAAUCCUUCCAUUCUCUAAACUAGCUUGAGUUGAUUUAUAUCACAGCAUCUCCAAGAGCAUAGAUCUUCUGCUACACGACAGGGCCAGGGCCAGGACCACUUUCAGCUCCAGGCAAUUGCACUGAGGACUCAGUGACACACUUUGUAAAGUGCCUGCUUCCCCUUCGCCUUCUGCCAUGAUUGGAAGCUUCCUGAGGCCUCUACAGAAGCAGAAGCCGCUAUGCUUCCUGUACAGCUUGCAGAACCAUGAGCCA